AUUGAACGCUGGCGGCAGGCCUAACACAUGCAAGUCGAGCGGAGCGGCGGACGGGGGAGUACUGCCUAGGAAUCUGCCUGGUGGUGGGGGAUACCGUCCGGAAACGGGAGCUAAUACAGCAUACUAUCAGAUGAGCCUAGGUCGGAUUAGCUAGUUGGUGGGGUAACGGCCUACCAAGGCGACGAUCCGUAACUGGUCUGAGAGGAUGAUCGGUCACACUGGGACGGAGACACGGUCCAGACUCCUACGGGAGGCAGAAGUGGGGAAUAUUGGACAAUGGGCGAAAGCCUGAUCCAGCCAUGCCGCGUGUGUGAAGAAGGUCUUCGGAUUGUAAAGCACUGUAAGUUGGGAGGCGGUACCAACAGAAUAAGCACCGGCUAACUUCGUGCCAGCAGCCGCGGUAAUAC
rnacentral:rRNA from 1 species